AACCUGGUUGAUUCUGCCAGUAGUCAUACGCUCGUCUCAAAGAUUAAGCCAUGCAUGUCUAAGUAUAAAUCUUUUACUUUGAAACUGCGAACGGCUCAUUAUAUCAGUUAUAGUUUAUUUGAUAGUCCCUUACUACUCGGAUAACCGUAGUAAUUCUAGAGCUAAUACGUGCGUCAAUACUCUUCGGAGUAGUAUUUAUUAGAUGGAAACCAACUGCCU
rfam:Fistulifera solaris DNA, contig: scaffold00293, strain: JPCC DA0580.